rnacentral:miRNA from 18 species
UUCCACCUCUCAGAAUCCCUAUUU